rnacentral:rRNA from 1 species
GCAAGUCGAGCGGAAACGAAGGGUAGUUUACUACUUUGGCGUCGAGCGGCGGACGGGUGAGUAAUGCUUGGGAAUAUGCCGAAUGGCGGGGGACAACAGUUGGAAACGACUGCUAAUACCGCAUAAUGUCUACGGACCAAAGGGGGGGCUUCUUAGGAACCUCUCGCCAUUUGAUUAGCCCAAGUGGGAUUAGCUUGUUGGUGAGGUAAGAGCUCACCAAGGCGACGAUCCCUAGCUGGUCUGAGAGGGGGAUC